UCUGAGCUGACGUCAUAGGGUAUGGAACAUCCCUUUGGUCAGUUUGGGUCAGCUGGCCUACUUGUGUCCCCUCCCAGGAUCUUGCCCUCAACUGAGGAAGGAAUGUUACAGUGCUGAUGCUGUGCUCAGUAGUAGCCAAAACACCAGUGUGUUGUCAACACCCUUCUAGCUACCAAUGCAAAGCACAGCACUGUGAGGGCUGCUAUGGGGAAAUGAAGUCCAGCUCAGCCAGACCCAGUACAGUUCCCUCACUAAAAAUGCAUAAUGCUUCCACAUGAGAAUGCAAGACAAGUCCCAAGGAAACAGCGCUUCAGGACUGGAUCUGUUUCAUCUGAGUGAGAAACUUCCAGCCUUUCUAUAGGAAAGGAAAACAUUGCAGAGAAACAUCUCUCUGCAAAUGCCUAUUACAAACCCCCAUAGUUUCAACACAGCCUGCGUUGAACCAGCCUGCCAAGAACCCCACAAGACAGUUUUGCUUUGUCAUGUGGAUAAGGUUCAAAGUAAGGAAGCAAGAAAGGUGACUCCUGAGUGAGUUAGGAGGCACGUGGAUCUGAACUGCUGCAACAACCAGUAAAGAUUUUCACAGCAUGGAUGAGGAUUCAAGACUGCUGUUUUUAUUUUCUUCCCCUCUCUGCCCUCCCAUAGUAUCCUUAAGUUUCAAAACACCCAUCCCCUCAGUAGGAAUACUGGUAGUUCUUCCGAAUUCUAAAUUCAGUGCAGACUGUAAAAAAAAAAAAAA